UACGGGAGGGUGCAAGCGUUAUCCGGAUUCACUGGGUUUAAAGGGUGCGUAGGUGGGUUGGUAAGUCAGUGGUGAAAUCUCCGGGCUUAACCUGGAAACUGCCAUUGAUACUAUCAAUCUUGAAUACCUUGGAGGUGAGCGGAAUAUGUCAUGUAGCGGUGAAAUGCUUAGAUAUGACAUAGAACACCAAUUGCGAAGGCAGCUCACUACACGGUCAUUGACACUGAGGCACGAAAGCGUGGGGAUCAAACAGG
rnacentral:rRNA from 1 species